AGAGUUUGAUCAUGGCUCAGAUUGAACGCUGGCGGCAUGCUUUACACAUGCAAGUCGAACGGUAACAGGCCGCAGAGUGCUGACGAGUGGCGAACGGGUGAGUAAUGCAUCGGAACGUGCCCGGUCGUGGGGGAUAACACUUCGAAAGAAGUGCUAAUACCGCAUACGAUCUGAGGAUGAAAGCGGGGGACCGUAGAGCCUCGCGCGAUCGGAGCGGCCGAUGUCAGAUUAGGUAGUUGGUGGGGUAAAGGCUCACCAAGCCAACGAUCUGUAGCUGGUCUGAGAGGACGACCAGCCACACUGGGACUGAGACACGGCCCAGACUCCUACGGGAGGCAGCAGUGGGGAAUUUUGGACAAUGGGCGCCAAUGAUCCAGCAAUGCCGCGUGCAGGAAGAAGGCCUUCGGGUUGUAAACUGCUUUUGUACGGAACGAAACGGUCCGGGCUAAUACCCUGGGCUAAUGACGGUACCGUAAGAAUAAGCACCGGCUAACUACGUGCCAGCAGCCGCGUAAUACGUAGGGUGCAAGCGUUAAUCGGAAUUACUGGGCGUAAAGCGUGCGCAGGCGGUUUUGUAAGACAGGCGUGAAAUCCCCGGGCUCAACCUGGGAAUUGCGCUUGUGACUGCAAGGCUGGAGUGCGGCAGAGGGGGAUGGAAUUCCGCGUGUAGCAGUGAAAUGCGUAGAUAUGCGGAGGAACACCGAUGGCGAAGGCAAUCCCCUGGGCCUGCACUGACGCUCA
rnacentral:rRNA from 2 species